rnacentral:ncRNA from 1 species
UAUAAAUUAUUCAUGGUUUUUUAAUUCAUUAUUUAUUUAUUUUACAUAUAAAUUUUAGUGAAUAUUUUUAAUUUUUUUAAAAAUAAUUAAUUUUUUAUAGUAGUAAUUAUUAUUAAAAAUUUAAGAAAUUAUGAUUUAGUAAUAUAAAAUUUUUAAUAACAAAUUUUGUGCCAGCAGUUGCGGUUAUACAAAAAUUUAUAUGAAUUUUAUUAGUGAUUAAUUAAAAGUUUAAAUUUUAUUAUUUUAAAUGUUAAAUUAUUAAGUGAAAUUUUAAUUUAAUUAAAAAAUAAGUUAUUUUUGAUUUUAAUAAAUUUAAAAAAUUAAACUAGGAUUAGAUACCCUAUUAUUAUAAAUUUAAAUUUUGAAUACUAAAAUAGUAAUUAUUAUUAAUAUUGAAACUUAAAUGAUUUGGCGGUAUUUUAGUUUAUUCAGAGGAAUCUGUUUAAUAAUUGAUAAUCCACGAAUAAAUUUACUUAAUUUUUUUUUUUAUUUUAUAUAUCGUUGUUAAAAAAAUAUUUUUAAAUAAUAAAUAAUAUUUUAAAAUUUUUAAUUAAAAUUAAAUCAGAUCAAGAUGUAGAUUAUAAUUAAGAAUAUAAUGGAUUACAAUAAAUUUAUUUAAAUGAAUGUUAAUUUGGAAAAAUUAAUUAAAGGUGGAUUUGAAUGUAAUUUUAUUUAGUUUAUUAAAAUGAUUAAUAAUUAAAAUAUGUACAUAUUGCCCGUCGCUUUCAUUUAUAAAUUGAAAUAAGUCGUAACAAAGUAGAGGUACUGGAAAGUGUUUCUAGAAAGAU